ACUGAACGCUGGCGGCAUGCUUUACACAUGCAAGUCGAACGGUAACAGGCCGCAAGGUGCUGACGAGUGGCGAACGGGUGAGUAAUGCAUCGGAACGUGCCCAGUCGUGGGGGAUAACGCAGCGAAAGCUGCGCUAAUACCGCAUACGAUCUAUGGAUGAAAGCGGGGGACCGUAAGGCCUCGCGAGAUUGGAGCGGCCGAUGUCAGAUUAGGUAGUUGGUGGGGUAAAGGCUAACCAAGCCAACGAUCUGUAGGUGGUCUGAGAGGACGACCAGCCACACUGGGACUGAGACACGGCCCAGACUCCUACGGGAGGCAGCAGUGGGGAAUUUUGGACAAUGGGCGCAAGCCUGAUCCAGCAAUGCCGCGUGCAGGAAGAAGGCCUUCGGGUUGUAAACUGCUUUUGUACGGAACGAAACGGUCCUGGUUAAUACCUGGGGCUAAUGACGGUACCGUAAGAAUAAGCACCGGCUAACUACGUGCCAGCAGCCGCGGUAAUAC
rnacentral:rRNA from 1 species